rnacentral:rRNA from 1 species
AGUGAACGCUGGCGGUAGGCCUAACACAUGCAAGUCGAACGGCAGCACAGUAAGAGCUUGCUCUUACGGGUGGCGAGUGGCGGACGGGUGAGGAAUACAUCGGAAUCUACUUUUUCGUGGGGGAUAACGUAGGGAAACUUACGCUAAUACCGCAUACGACCUACGGGUGAAAGCAGGGGAUCUUCGGACCUUGCGCGAUUGAAUGAGCCGAUGUCGGAUUAGCUAGUUGGCGGGGUAAAGGCCCACCAAGGCGACGAUCCGUAGCUGGUCUGAGAGGAUGAUCAGCCACACUGGAAUUGAGACACGGUCCAGACUCCUACGGGAGGCAGCAGUGGGGAAUAUUGGACAAUGGGCGCAAGCCUGAUCCAGCCAUACCGCGUGGGUGAAGAAGGCCUUCGGGUUGUAAAGCCCUUUUGUUGGGAAAGAAAAGCAGCAGGUUAAUACCCCGCUGCUCUGACGGUACCCAAAGAAUAAGCACCGGCUAACUUCGUG